rnacentral:rRNA from 1 species
CCCGCUGAACUUAAGCAUAUCAAUAAGCGGAGGAAAAGAAACCAACAGGGAUUACCCUAGUAACGGCGAGUGAAGCGGUAUCAGCUCAAAUUUAAAAUCCGACUCUCACGGGUCUGAGUUGUAAUUUGUAGAGGACGUUUCGGACAAGGCUGUGGUGUAAGUUUCUUGGAACAGAACGUCACAGAGGGUGAGAAUCCCGUCUAGCACCGACGGCCGCGUCCAUGUGAAACCCCUUCGACGAGUCGAGUUGUUUGGGAAUGCAGCUCAAAAUGGGUGGUAAAUUUCAUCUAAAGCUCAAUAUUGGCCAGAGACCGAUAGCGCACAAGUAGAGUGAUCGAAAGAUGAAAAGUACUUUGAAAAGAGAGUUAAACAGUAUGUGAAAUUGUUGAAAGGGAAGCGCUUGCAACCAGACUUGUGUGUGGCGGCUCCCCCGGUCUUCUGACCGGGUUAUUCUGUCAUAACCAGGCCAGCAUCGAUUUAGGUGGCCAGUUAAAGGCUCUGGGAAGGUAUCUACCUUCGGGUCGACUUACAGCCCAGGGUGUAAUGUGGUCUACUUGGAUCGAGGAACGCGCUUUUUGCCCGGAUGUUGGCGUAAUGGUUGCAAGUGGCCCGUCUUGAAACACGG